AGGGCGGGCGCGGACCGUGCUGGGAGCGGCGCGGCUGGAGCGCAGCGCCGAAGGGACUGGCAGGGCUGAAGUGUGCGGGACAGCAAGCCCCCGAAUAGCCCCGGCUGCCACCUCGCAGGACCCAAGGCCACGCGCGCCGGGCCCAGCUGAGCCGCCUCAUGAAGCCGCCCGCGGCGCAGGGCAGCCCCGCGGCCGCCGCGGCCGCAGCCCCGGCCCUGGACUCGGCGGCCGCGGAGGACCUGUCGGACGCGCUGUGCGAGUUUGACGCGGUGCUGGCCGACUUCGCGUCGCCCUUCCACGAGCGCCACUUCCACUACGAGGAGCACCUGGAGCGCAUGAAGCGGCGCAGCAGCGCCAGUGUCAGCGACAGCAGCGGCUUCAGCGACUCGGAGACUCUCAGACUUGUUGCUCCAUUGCAUGCAGUUAUGAAAAUCUUUGGCACUGCUGAGUUCAAGUAUUUUUCAGCCAGGUCCUCCACCAGGCUGGAGGGGGAGCCAGAGAGCACAUGGGCAUGAAGGUGGUUCCUGGUGAUCUUUCUCACAAUGGAGACUACCCCAGGGUCUCUUUGUCCUGAACAACUUUGUCAACAACAGCAACAACAACAAAAACAACAAAAGAGACAGCUUUUUCCAGGAACUCACAUGUCCUGGGAGGAUUACAGUUUUUACAGCUCUGUCUGAAGGUGCACCAACCUUACAAGGAAGAUCAAACAGCAAGCCUGUUCUUUGAAGAAUACUUCUUUAUUAUCAUUAAAAAAAAUUUAGGUUGCUUGCACCCAAAGGCAAAAAAUAGCCAUUCCUCGUACUGAAAGAAACAAGUUACUCAGAUAGGAAAGAAGAACAGAUAUUUAAUAAGGAAAUAUUCCUUCCUGUUCCCACUUUCAGGGAGGCCUCUUAAGACAUGAAGAGGACCAAAAUAACAAUUGCAGUAUAACUUCACAUGGUGGGGUGGGGGGUGUGGAGUUCAAAUGUGGUUGAUCAAAAUAGUGUUGUUACUUUCGUUUAGACUUGAUUCCAACAUGUAAAAAAAUCAGGCACUUUAGUGGGAGUGAUUUUAACUUCAGUAGUGAAAGGGCAAUGCAAUUAAGAGUUAGGGUAGUGUUUCUCAAACUUCAUCCUCAGAGGUGCUUUAGAAAUUGACUACCUUUGGUUUGAAUUUAUUUUUAGAAAUAUAUCUUCUUUUCAGUAUUUUUAAAACUGUAAAAGGUAAACCAUGUUUUCUCAAAUGUGUUAAAUGGAAUUUUAACUCAUUA